GGAUAACCUACCCUUAGGACUGGGAUAACCCUGGGAAACUGGGGAUAAUACUAGAUAGGCAAUUUUUCCUGGAAUGGUUUUUUGUUUAAAUGUUUUUUCGCCUAAGGAUGGGUCUGCGGCCGAUUAGGUAGUUGGUUAGGUAACGGCUUACCAAGCCAUUGAUCGGUACGGGUUGUGAGAGCAAGAGCCCGGAGAUGGAACCUGAGACAAGGUUCCAGGCCCUACGGGGUGCAGCAGGCGCGAAACCUCCGCAAUGUGAGAAAUCGCGACGGGGGGAUCCCAAGUGCCAUUCUUAACGGGAUGGCUUUUCAUUAGUGUAAAGAGCUUUUGGAAUAAGGGCUGGGCAAGACCGGUGCCAGCCGCCGCGGUAACACCGGCAGCUCUAGUGGUAGCAGUUUUUAUUGGGCCUAAAGCGUCCGUAGCCGGUUUAAUAAGUCUCUGGUGAAAUCCUGUAGCUUAACUGUGGGAAUUGCUGGAGAUACUAUUAGACUUGAGACCGGGAGAGGUUAGAGGUACUCCCAGGGUAGAGGUGAAAUUCUGUAAUCCUGGGAGGACCGCCUGUUGCGAAGGCGUCUAACUGGAACGGUUCUGACGGUGAGGGACGAAAGUUAGGGGCGCGAACCGGAUUAGAUACCCGGGUAGUCCUAACUGUAAACGAUGCGGACUUGGUGUUGGGGUGGCUUUGAGCUGCUCCAGUGCCGAAGGAAGCUGUUAAGUCCGCCGCCUGGGAAGUACGGUCGCAAGACUGAAA
rnacentral:rRNA from 1 species